CAAGAUCCCGUGGAAGAGAAGAGAUUGUGGCAUGAAGGCUUUUAGGUAACGGAAGGAUUCAUACAGAGGUCAUGGAGGAUUCGACUGAGAUGUAACCAGGCAAAGGUAGUAGGAAGUAAUAUUUGUCAGGUAAAAACAAAAGUCCAUGUUUGUGUUAUUUUCUCUUUUCUUUAAAGUACCAAGUUUAAAGGUCAAGUUCUUAUUCCAGUGGUCUAAACAUACUUAAGGAUUUUAAGCAUUAUCUGACAGCCUUGUCUGUCCAUCUUGUGUCACUCACUAGAGUACUAACUUAGACUCUGAAAUAUCUAAAGGUUGGUUUCAUGCAUUCCUUUAUUUUUGUCAGUUGAGCUCAAAUGUCAGACAUUUGGACACAUCUCUGGAACUAAACAAUUUUUAUGUACUCCCAUCUUCUUCCUGAGCCCCUACUUAAAAACAGGUUAAGAGAAAUAUCACAUGUCCUAGCCACAGAAAGUUUUGCAAUCACUAGGGUGGAUAUAAGCCCUCAAACUCUGCCUCAAUACAUGAGAAAGGUCCCUUAGAUGUAGGAAGAGCAAAUAGAGAAGAAUAGAUGAAAAAAGAACAUUGAGCUUGGGAAUGGUCAACCAGAGGCAGUGCAGUGAAGACUAGGCAGCUAAUUUCACAAUUGAUAACCCUUCGUGAGAUUAAACAUUGCUGGGAAUGUGAAAUGGAGACACAGAGGAACAGAGGGAAGUUAUAGGAAGUGAACGUUAUCUAGAAAAAUGAUAGUUACCCGUUUCAUCUC